rnacentral:rRNA from 2 species
AACCCCUGUGACAUACCUAUACGUUGCCUCGGCGGAUCAGCCCGCGCCCCGUAAAACGGGACGGCCCGCCCGAGGACCCCUAAACUCUGUUUUUAGUGGAACUUCUGAGUAAAACAAACAAAUAAAUCAAAACUUUCAACAACGGAUCUCUUGGUUCUGGCAUCGAUGAAGAACGCAGCAAAAUGCGAUAAGUAAUGUGAAUUGCAGAAUUCAGUGAAUCAUCGAAUCUUUGAACGCACAUUGCGCCCGCCAGUAUUCUGGCGGGCAUGCCUGUUCGAGCGUCAUUUCAACCCUCAAGCUCAGCUUGGUGUUGGGACUCGCGGUAACCCGCGUUCCCCAAAUCGAUUGGCGGUCACGUCGAGCUUCCAUAGCGUAGUAAUCAUACACCUCGUUACUGGUAAUCGUCGCGGCCACGCCGUUAAACCCCAACUUCUGAAUGUUGACCUCGGAUCAGGUAGGAAUACCCGCUGAACUUAAGCAUAUCAAUAAGCGGAGGAA